rnacentral:rRNA from 1 species
UACGUAGGGGGCAAGCGGUGUCCGGAAUUAUUGGGCGUAAAGCGCGCGCAGGCGGCCAUUUAAGUCUGGUGUAUAAUCCCGGGGCUCAACCCCGGGUCGCACGGGAAACUGGGUGGCUGGAGUGCAGAAGAGGAGAGUGGAAUUCCACGUGUAGCGGUGAAAUGCGUAGAUAUGUGGAGGAACACCAGUGGCGAAGGCGACUCUCUGGGCUGUAACUGACGCUGAGGCGCGAAAGAGUGGGGAGCAAACAGG